AUGGCAGAGAUGGUCAGUUCUGCCAUUGUCGGGGAGGCAGUCAGCCGAAUCAUUUCUGGUAUUGCCACCAACAAAGACCAUGAUAAAACGGAUGAAGCCGCAGAAGGUGGCCUAGAGAGGCUGGAGAUGGCGUGCAUCAGGAUGGAGGCUGCGCUCGAGACAUCCAACAAGUGGCAGAUUACGGACACGCCACUGCUCCAUUGGCGAAAGAAACUGAAGCGUGCUGCUCAGGACUGUGAGGACGCGGUUCGCAGAUGCAGGCAACAUUUUCAUGAAGAAGAUGAGAGAAAACAGAUGGUAAGGCAAUCCUCGCUUCCUAGACGUAUUGCACAUACGACCAAGACAUUCAUCUCCUCUUUCGUCGGCCGCAAAAAUGAUCAUUGCUCGGACAACAUAACUUCUGUUCGGAGAUUCGAGAGGUUUGCGGAUGGUGCUACUGAGUUUAUCAGGUUUGUGCAGCUUGGCGGAACGCCACGACAUCACAUGUUCUUCGAUCCUCUCAUCCGACAUAUCUUUGAAGGAAAAUCCAUACGAUAUAUGGUGUUGCAUCCAGGAGGCCAGUAUCACUUCUUCACCAUACAACCCAUAGCUUCCGAGGAGCGUGGUUUGGAGGCCAUACUAUGCUUUGUCUAUGAAGAUUGCAAAUUGCCCGAGAAAAGUUUUGCCCUCAAGUUCAUGAUGCGCAUCUCGGAGAGCACAAACCUAAUCGGAACUACAGUUAAGUGCUUGCAAUUGGUGACGCCUCACUUCAAGUCCACGGCUGAAAUUGUCAUUAAAGAGAUCGCACAGCUCCCUACGCAAGAUUUCUCCUGUUUACCGCAUGAGGUUAUGAGUGUCAACGCGGAACAUUACUGGAAUGAGAUGAACACAACUUUUGCUGUAUGCUCCCGCCCAGAUCCUCUAUGUUGCCAAGGAUACGAGCACAAGAUCGUGUCUUCCUGUUGUGGCGACGAAAGCAACAGCGGAAACAAAUUGAGGCUUUCGAGCAUAUUUCCAGAACCAGUAUGUAAAGUUUUUUUACAGCGUCACGUCUCACCAUCCGAGUACCCUAACCUGCAUGGGUCAGUCACUAGAUAUGACUUGGCUUCUUUGGAGAAUUGCCGACCUUUGAAGCUUGGAAUUCUGUUCAUGCCUCAUGACUCUCUGCAGGAACCCAAGUCCACAAGCAAGGGCUCUGUGAUAGAGGCAAUCGAUGGAAAGAAGCAACACUUGACGCAUGUAAAUGUUCACCCGGAUCAGCUCGACGAGAUGUUUCUGCCCAAGGCGAUAGACUAUCUAUAUCAUAACGUUGAGUCUACAACGUACGAGAUAAGUUGGAGAUCUAACCAUGGUAGUGCAUACCUAUGUGUGGACAUGACGAGUGCGACAAGAUUGCCAGGAGCACCCGCGGCGAUACAAGGUAGGAACAAGAGCAACAAGGUGGUUCCUGAGAUGCAGCAAGAGCUAAUGGAAAAUGUGGAGUGGAAGGAGGUAGCAAGAAGAUGCUUAAAACUUUGGUUGUUUCGUUCCUCCCAGAGAAUGCAGAGCAUGUUUACGGCGUGGCUGAAACGAUGA
rnacentral:rRNA from 1 species